CCAUAUAUAUAUAUAUAUGAUUUAUUUGGUUACUUCCAUUAAUAGAGAGUCACACUAAUUGGAUCUCUCUCGGAUCUCUCUCCCUGCAUUUGGCGAUCUACAGCACAGAAACCCUUGAAGUUCUUCUGUUAGCCGCUCGAGUCCCUCUCUGGUAUGUGUGAUGAAACUGUACAGAAUUCAAUAAGGGUCUUUUAAAUGGCUACCCUUACUUUGUAUUUCCUCAUCAUGAACACGAUCUCCAUUCUCAACUUGAGUUUGCUCUGGUGAUUGGGUUUUGGGUACCGAGAAGGGUGGUCUUGUCUUGCAAGCGUAAUCGACAUUAUGGGUCUCCUAAAUGGCUACACUUACUUUGUUUUUCUUCAUCAUCGUCACGAUCUCCAUCCUCCUCAACUUGGGUUUGCUCUUCUGAUUGGGUUCUGGGCACAAAGAAGAGUGAUCUUCUCUUGCGGGCAUAAAAGCUGCGUAGUCGAUCGAUAUUAUGGGUCUAAUAAAUGGCUACACUUACUUGUUUUCUUCAUCAUCACGAUCUCGAUCCUCAGCUUGGGUUUGCUCUUGCCGACUCAGACAGUCAUUAGGUUUUGGGCACAAAGAAGAGCUCUUGCAGGCAUAAAAGCUGCCGGAAAUGUACUCAUCAAGUUGGAUCUUGUUGGAUCUUGACUUCUAAAACAUUCUCUCUUGAUAUCAUAGCCUCAAAAAAAGCAGACAAGUCUUCAUCAACGAUAUAUAUCGAGCAGCACCGCUACGAUUAUCGAAAUUUUUGCUCACUGAAAUGAUCUAUGAGAGUGUUAAUGUUGGCAUCUUCAGAUGCCAAGUGAGGACUCACCCUCCAAGUGAUGGACUUCACUUUAUAGUAAUGGAUGCAAACCUGUGGCCAAACAAAGGACCUGCUCCGGAAUUAACAUGGUUUCAGAUUUUUGGAUUUGAGCAUGAAGACAUCCCCGACCCCGUAUUGAAUUUCGUAUCAAUGCCUGAAGACUUCAACAUGCAAAAUUCACAGCCACCUUAUUCUUUACCGGAGCCAGUACGUGAGAUCCAAGAAACUAGAAUUGUUGAUAGUGAUCUUGAGGGUCAAAACCGCACCACCCUUGAUGAUGAACUCGACCGAAACCUGCCUUUCCAGCUGCCUCUGGCAAGUGGACCUGCUGAGCUACCAUCGCAUGUGACGGACCACGGUUUUGGAUUUAUGGUUGAAGAUAUCCCUAUCACCGGAUGGCCAAAUCUACAGCAGCCUUGGUCUGGAGAAAAUAUUGGUGAAUUGGAUUUCCCACUUGUGGCUGAAGGCCCCGGCAUGCAAAAUUCACAGCUGCAUUAUUCUGGUGACGGCAAAAUUUACAGAUCACCACAACUUCAUGCUUUCUCGAAAACUUUGUAUCAAUCCCACAGCUGUUGCUAGACCACGCUCUUCUUCUUUUUCUUCUUCUUCUUCUUCUUCUUCUUCAUGGCACAAUGCAUCGAGGCCUACAAAGUACUAACAACCUCCCUUUGUGAUGUUGCACCCUCUCACAUCAUCGGGCAUUUUGUCCAUCAGCAAAGGUGAUUUCCUACAUGUGCUCGAAGAAGACAUUUCCAUUCCCGGGUUGUCAAGUCCACAACUGCCUAAUUCUGGUGGGGGGUUUUAUGGAAUCCAACCUUCUAACUAGUUAUUGCGUGCAUACAGACACUUCUGUAUUGAGCAUAAUUUUUUAAUGUCUUCAAUCUUGUGAAGCAUAGGAGAAUAAUACAUAUAACUAUGUCAUUCUCGUGCCAUAAGUUUGUGAAACCAAAAUGACCUUCUCAACUCUACGUUUCCCUAACAAAUGAAAUGUGGGGUAGUGAACCCGUAGUUGUAACUUAGUGGUAAAGGGAGAACAACAAGUAAUGAGACAAAUUGGUAAACUUGAACGGCUUGAGAUUGAUUUUUGCUAGUCUUGCUCUUUGUCUUACGAUGUAUUAACUUUGUCGAUGGCUCUUGUAUCCUGGUUCACUCAACGCUUCAUGAUGGCUCUUGUAUCCUAUAUAGUUUACCCAACCUUCAACCCUUCAACCCAUGAACAGAACGUGUUGGUCGAAUUCUUUGUAAAUAAAUAGUUCACUGUAGUAAAUUUACCGUGCCCGAAUGCCGCAUUUCUUCUCCAUCACCAAAUUUGAAUUUUGUAUGAAUAUAUCCUUUUUCUACCUUCAAAUUAGGCCACUGCUAAUUAUGAAAGGUGUGCAUAUAUGUGUUCAUAUACAUAUUUAUAAAUAGGUGUGUCUGAUAGUAAUAUGAA